ncrna:Taeniopygia guttata (zebra finch) microRNA tgu-mir-193a precursor
AGUCGGGGUUUUGGGGGCGAGAUGAGCUUAUGUUUUAUCCAACUGGCCCACAAAGUCCCGCUUUUGGUG